rnacentral:rRNA from 1 species
GAUGAACGCUGGCGGCAUGCUUUACACAUGCAAGUCGAACGCGGUCCGGGGGCAACCCCGGACUGAGUGGCGAACGGGUGAGUAAUGCAUCGGAACGUACCCUGUCGUGGGGGAUAACCAGUCGAAAGACUGGCUAAUACCGCAUACGACCUGUGGGUGAAAGCGGGGGACCUGAAAGGGCCUCGCGCGACUGGGGCGGCCGAUGCCGGAUUAGCUAGUAGGUGGGGUAAAGGCUCACCUAGGCGACGAUCCGUAGCUGGUCUGAGAGGAUGAUCAGCCACACUGGGACUGAGACACGGCCCAGACUCCUACGGGAGGCAGCAGUGGGGAAUUUUGGACAAUGGGGGCAACCCUGAUCCAGCCAUGCCGCGUGAGUGAAGAAGGCCUUCGGGUUGUAAAGCUCUUUCGGCCGGAACGAAAUCGCCUCUCCGAAUACGGGGGGUGGAUGACGGUACCGGAAGAAGAAGCACCGGCUAACUACGUGCCAGCAGCCGCGGUAAAAC